rnacentral:rRNA from 1 species
GACAGGAAGGGCUAGUGUUAUUCAUCACUAUUGGGUGUAAAGGGUAUGUAGACGUAUUAUUAAAUUAAAUAUGAAAUCCUAUAUAUUUAUAGAAAUGUAUUUAACAUUGAUGAUAUUGAGUUUUAAUGAGGAAUAUACUAAAUCUAGUGUAAAGGUUCAAUUUGUUAAUAUUAGAAAGAGUGCCAAAUGGUAAAAACAAUAUUCUUAUUAAAACUGACGUUAAGAUACGAAGGCAUAAGUUUCGAACAGG